rnacentral:rRNA from 1 species
AUUGAACGCUGGCGGAAUGCUUUACACAUGCAAGUCGAACGGCAGCACGGGGGCAGCCCUGGUGGCGAGUGGCGAACGGGUGAGUAAUACAUCGGAACGUGCCCGGUCGUGGGGGAUAACGUAGCGAAAGUUACGCUAAUACCGCAUACGAUCUGAGGAUGAAAGCGGGGGACCUUCGGGCCUCGCGCGAUCGGAGCGGCCGAUGUCAGAUUAGGUAGUUGGUGGGGUAAAGGCCUACCAAGCCGACGAUCUGUAGCUGGUCUGAGAGGACGACCAGCCACACUGGGACUGAGACACGGCCCAGACUCCUACGGGAGGCAGCAGUGGGGAACUUUGGACAAUGGGCGCAAGCCUGAUCCAGCCAUUCCGCGUGCAGGACGAAGGCCUUCGGGUUGUAAACUGCUUUUGUACGGAACGAAAAGGCUCUGGCUAAUACCUGGGGCUCAUGACGGUACCGUAAGAAUAAGCACCGGCUAACUACGUG